rnacentral:rRNA from 1 species
UACGGGGGGGGCAAGCGUUGUUCGGAAUUACUGGGCGUAAAGGGCGCGUAGGCGGUUUGCUAAGUUGGAUGUGAAAACUCUGGGCUUAACCCAGAGCCUGCAUCCAAAACUGGCAAACUUGAGUACUGGAGGGGAAAGCGGAAUUCCUGGUGUAGCGGUGAAAUGCGUAGAUAUCAGGAGGAACACCGGUGGCGAAGGCGGCUUUCUGGACAGUAACUGACGCUGAGGCGCAAAAGCUAGGGGAGCAAACAGG